rnacentral:rRNA from 1 species
UACGUAGGGACCAAGCGUUGUUCGGAUUUACUGGGCGUAAAGGGCGCGUAGGCGGCGCGGUAAGUCACUUGUGAAAUCUCUGAGCUUAACUCAGAACGGCCAAGUGAUACUGCGGUGCUAGAGUGUGGAAGGGGCAAUCGGAAUUCUUGGUGUAGCGGUGAAAUGCGUAGAUAUCAAGAGGAACACCUGAGGUGAAGACGGGUUGCUGGGCCAACACUGACGCUGAUGCGCGAAAGCCAGGGGAGCAAACGGG